UACAGAGGUCUCAAGCGUUGUUCGGAAUUACUGGGCGUAAAGGGUGCGCAGGCCGCGCGGGCAGUCAAAUGUGUAAUCCAGGGGCUCAACCCCUGAACUGCGCUUGAUACUUCCGCGCUCGAGCUUUGGAGAGGAGUCUGGAAUUCUCGGUGUAGCAGUGAAAUGCGUGGAUAUCGAGGAGAACACUUAGGGCGUAGGCAAGACUCUGGACAAAUGCUGACGCUCAUGCACGAAGGCUAGGGUAGCGAACGGG
rnacentral:rRNA from 1 species